rnacentral:rRNA from 1 species
UACGUAGGGGGCUAGCGUUGUCCGGAAUCAUUGGGCGUAAAGCGCGCGUAGGCGGCCAGAUAAGUCCGGUGUGAAAGUCACAGGCUCAACCUGUGAAUGCCGCUGGAAACUGUCUGGCUAGAGUCCGGAAGGGGCGAGUGGAAUUCCUGGUGUAGCGGUGAAAUGCGCAGAUAUCAGGAGGAACACCAAUGGCGAAGGCAGCUCGCUGGACCGGUACUGACGCUGAGGCGCGAAAGCGUGGGGAGCGAACAGG